CACGGCUGUCCCCUGCCUUCUGCCAUCCCCGGCCAUCUGUGUCCCCUCCGCGGGGGCUGCUCUGCCACACAGCACCAUUGUCACUGCCUUGCCCACACUUGGCCCUGCACGGGGAGAGACAGCUGGGAGAGCACUGGGGCAGCCCUGCUCUUUGCAGUGGGUGAAAGCAAAUGGUCAUGUCGGGUCAGGGAGCUCCCCUGCAGCUGGCAAGGGUGACACGGCCCCGCAGGGCCAGCCCAGCACAGGAGGAGGAAACCCACGGCUGCUGCUUGCUGUGAAAGUGCCUGCAAAAAAAUCACCACGCCAGUCAGUGAGCUUUGUUUGUUUUAAAUAGGAGCACUUUGCUCCUUAAAUAAUACCUUACUUCAAGCAUCUCAAAGCGCAUCUCACUGGCUGAGCCUCAUCUUUCUGUGGAAAGGGUGUAGUCAGCCUGAAUUUGAAGAACUGGCAAGCUGAACCAUCAGUAUCAGAGUAAUGGGACUGAGAAAGCCGAGAAAGAAAGUGGAGGCCGGAAUGAUGCUGAUUACACUGGAAGGUGUGACAGUUGGUUUAACUAGUGGAGAACAGAAUUACAGGCAUCCACAGGAACUGAAGGAGCCUUACAAUAAAAAGGCAGGGCAGGAAGGGCAGUCUGCAAAAUGGAGAACACGAAGGUCUGCUGUGCCCUCUCUCUUGAAGCCUACAGCUUUGGGAAAAGCUGAAGAUACAGACUUAGGAAUCCUGAAUUUCUUUGGCAUCCCCAAAUACACUAAUUAAUAUUUGCAGGAGGUGAAAAGUGCUGUUUGUACUGUUAGGAGGUAUUAAUGAUCAAUUUUCAAACUGUUUGUAUCAUUUUCCUGUGGUGACAGCAGAGGACUAUGCCAU